rnacentral:rRNA from 1 species
CAGUCGCCGCGGUAAUACGUAGGUGGCAAGCGUUGUCCGGAAUUAUUGGGCGUAAAGGGCUCGCAGGCGGUUUCUUAAGUCUGAUGUGAAGGCCCCCGGCUCAACCGGGGAGGGUCAUUGGAAACUGGGAAACUUGAGUGCAGAAGAGGAGAGUGGAAUUCCACGUGUAGCGGUGAAAUGCGUAGAGAUGUGGAGGAACACCAGUGGCGAAGGCGACUCUCUGGUCUGUAACUGACGCUGAGGAGCGAAAGCGUGGGGAGCGAACAGGAUUAGAUACCCCCGUAGUCCCUGUCUCUUAUAC